UACAGAGGAGCCAAGCGUUGUCCGGAUUGACUGGGCGUAAAGCGCACGCAGGCGGACGCGCGCGUGGGGUGUGAAAUCUGGCCGCUUAACGGCCAGGCGCCAUCCCAUACGGCGCGUCUGGAGCAAUGCAGAGGUCGGUGGAAUUGCCGGUGUAGUGGUGAAAUGCGUAGAGAUCAGGAAGAACACCGGUGGCGAAAGCGCUCUGCUAGGCCGUAACUGACACUGAGGGACGAAAGCUAGGGGAGCGAAUGGG
rnacentral:rRNA from 1 species